AACGAACGCUGGCGGCAUGCCUAACACAUGCAAGUCGAACGAGACCUUCGGGUCUAGUGGCGCACGGGUGCGUAACGCGUGGGAACCUGCCCUUAGGUUCGGAAUAACUCCCCGAAAGGGGUGCUAAUACCGGAUAAUGUCUUCGGACCAAAGAUUUAUCGCCUUUGGAUGGGCCCGCGUUGGAUUAGCUAGUUGGUAGGGUAAAAGCCUACCAAGGCGACGAUCCAUAGCUGGUCUGAGAGGAUGAUCAGCCACACUGGGACUGAGACACGGCCCAGACUCCUACGGGAGGCAGCAGUGGGGAAUAUUGGACAAUGGGCGAAAGCCUGAUCAAGCAAUGCCGCGUGAGUGAUGAAGGCCUUAGGGUUGGAAAGCUCUUUUACCCGGGAUGAUAAUGACAGUACCGGGAGAAUAAGCUCCGGCUAACUCCGUC
rnacentral:rRNA from 1 species